rnacentral:lncRNA from 1 species
UGGCAGUUUGGGUCGGCUUAUUUAUGGCUGGUCCAAACUGCUUUAAGUCAUUCUUCUUUUUGUGUCACGAACUAGGAACAGUAUGAGUCAAAGCGAUCAUAUGUGGAGCACGGAUGUGCUGGAAGUCAGCGGCAGAUGGGAAUGGGAGGUUGGCAACGGUCCGCUCGUUCCUCUCACCAACUGCGAUGGUAAGCUGCAUCCCUCUG